rnacentral:rRNA from 1 species
GACGAACGCUGGCGGCGUGCUUAACACAUGCAAGUCGAACGGUGAAGCGCCUUCCUUUUUUGUCGGUGUGGAUGAGCGGCGAACGGGUGAGUAACUCGUGAGUAACCUGCUCCCUCUUUCUGGAUAACCGCAUGAAAGUGCUGCUAAUACGGGAUAUUCUGGGCCUGUUGCAUGAUGGGUCUGGGACAGAUUUUGUUUCGGUUGGGGAUGGGCUCGCGGUUUAUCAGCUUGUUGGUGGGGUGAUGGCCUACCAAGGCGGUGACGCGUGGCCGGCCUGAGAGGGUGGGCGGCAACACUGCGGAUGCGCGACGGAGAAGACUACGGCGGGAAGCAGCAGUGAGGAAUAUGGCACGAUCGGAGGAAGGAUGAUGCAGCGACGCGGGGUGGGGGAUGGAGUCCGUCGGGUAAUGAACCUCUUUCGCGAGUGAAGCAGGGCUGCCGCGUCUGUGGGUGUGUUGACGGUAGCUAGAUAAGAAGCGACGGCUAACUACGUG